rnacentral:rRNA from 1 species
CAACAAGUUCGAGCCCGUUAAUGGGUGAGAGCGUGCCUUUUGUAGAAUGAACCGGCGAGUUACGAUAUGAUGCGAGGUUAAGUUGAAGAGACGGAGCCGUAGGGAAACCGAGUCUUAAUAGGGCGCAUUAGUAUCAUGUCGUAGACCCGAAACCAUGUGACCUACCCAUGAGCAGGUUGAAGGUGAGGUAAAACUCACUGGAGGACCGAACCAGGGCACGUUGAAAAGUGCUUGGAUGACUUGUGGGUAGCGGAGAAAUUCCAAACGAACUUGGAGAUAGCUGGUUCUCUCCGAAAUAGCUUUAGGGCUAGCGUCGAUGUUAAGUCUCUUGGAGGUAGAGCACUGUUUGAUUGAGGGGUCCAUCCCGGAUUACCAAUAUCAGAUAAACUCCGAAU